CCUGAACUCUGGGGUUGGACUCGUGACCCUUUGGCUUGUCCCUUGCACUGCCUCAAUCACAUCCCUGAUGAUGGACAGGGUGUUGGGUCCUGAGGAACACCCCAAGUCAGCUAUUCCAAUGCUCUCUGGCAUGAGACUCAGUUGUCAGUUUGGUUUGAGAAAGGAGAAACUCUGUCCUAGUGAAGAUCCAACGAGAUUCUAAAAGCUUGGGGGACAUGUCGGCUGGCUCCGUGGACAAAGUUGUCAUCUUUAGCAUUGAUUCCCGUAGAUGUCAGUGAGGAUACCGCGUAUCUUCUCCAUCACAGGAAUAAGCUUAAUCUUAAGAGUAUCGCAAAGCAUUCAAUUAGAAAAUUCGAGCCAGUAGAGUUUAGGAGAGUCUGUGCAAGGUCGAUUAGAUUGUUUUAGAGCAUGCGCGUGGACCUUUCGGGUCCGGGAAACUUGUCGUGUCCAAAUUUGUUACAUACUCAAAUGAGGGGAAGAAAAAAGCAAUAUAAUUUGGUGUCUAAUCUAAAAGCAGAGCAUGAAGCUAGCGCAUGCAGAGAACCAGUGCAUUAUCGCACAUUAUCUUCCUUUUGACCCUAUCGCCAAAACUCUGUGGCGUCUGAACAGUGCCAUUCACUACUGGCCCGAAGGAGAGUCUGGCACAAUUGAACUUUGUCCAAUCUUCUUCUUUUGACUUGAGGCCAUCGGCCAAAAGAGGUGGUGGUGCGUUCAAUUA